GAUGAACGCUGGCGGCGUGCCUAACACAUGCAAGUCGAGCGAACAGAUGAGGAGCUUGCUCCUCUGACGUUAGCGGCGGACGGGUGAGUAACACGUGUAUAACCUACCUAUAAGACUGGGAUAAUCUCGGGAAACGGGAGCUAAUACCGGAGAAUAUAUUGAACCGCGUGGGUCAAUAGUGAAAGACGGUUGUGCUGUCAGGUAUAGAUGGAUCUGGGCCGCAUGAGCUAGUUGGGAAGGUAACGGGUUACGAAGGCAACGAUGCGUGUCCGACCUGAGUGGGUGAUCGGCGGCCCGGGAACUGGAACACCGUCCAGGGGACUGAGGGAGGGCGCAGUAUGGAACCUUCGGCAAUGGGGGGGAGCAUGACGCAACAGGGCCGCGUGAGUGAUAGAGGUCUUCGGUGCGUAAAAAUCUGUUAUUAGUGAUGAACAGAUUUGUACGUAACUAUGGACGUCUUGACGGUACCUAAUCAGAAAGCCACGGCUAACUACGUG
rnacentral:rRNA from 1 species